AGCUUGCUCCGAUCGGAUUAGUGGCGGACGGGUGAGUAACGCGUGAGUAACCUGCCUGCGAGAGGGGGAUAACAACGGGAAACUGUUGCUAAUACCACAUAACGCAUCGAUUCCGCAUGGAGAUGAUGCCAAAGGGAAACCGCUUGCAGAUGGACUCGCGUCUGAUUAGGUAGUUGGUGAGGUAACGGCUCACCAAGCCGACGAUCAGUAGCCGGACUGAGAGGUUGAACGGCCACAUUGGAACUGAGAUACGGUCCAGACUCC
rnacentral:rRNA from 1 species